AUUGAACGCUGGCGGCAUGCCUUACACAUGCAAGUCGAACGGCAGCACGGGAGCAAUCCUGGUGGCGAGUGGCGAACGGGUGAGUAAUAUAUCGGAACGUGCCCGGUCGUGGGGGAUAACGUAGAGAAAUUUACGCUAAUACCGCAUACGAUCUAAGGAUGAAAGCGGGGGAUUCGCAAGAACCUCGCGCGAUUGGAGCGGCUGAUAUCAGAUUAGGUUGUUGGUGAGGUAAAAGCUCACCAAGCCGACGAUCUGUAGCUGGUUUGAGAGGACGACCAGCCACACUGGGACUGAGACACGGCCCAGACUCCUACGGGAGGCAGCAGUGGGGAAUUUUGGACAAUGGGCGCAAGCCUGAUCCAGCAAUGCCGCGUGCAGGAUGAAGGCC
rnacentral:rRNA from 1 species